GAAAGGAGAAUGUUUUUAAAGACAAUACUUGAACCUUCCAUGAUAGUGAAUAUACUAGUUAGAAUGAUCUAGAAUAGUUGAAAUGUGCAUAUAAGAGCUGCAGUUUCUUCAAGAUCAUCAUCAUAUCAUAUUAGAUCACUUGAUCACAUCAGAUCACUUCAUCACAUCAGAUCAGAACUCAGAGUUUCACGCCAGACUUUAUGUCAGAGCAGUGUUUAUUUCCACCUCGAAUAUUUAUUUUCUGUGGAAUUAUUUGCCCGCCAUCAAUGAACGGUUUGCAGUUAUUUUGAGAGAGGAAUUCUCAGUUCUCAUCGAGAUCAUCAACCUGUUUAAUGAACACUCUUCAACCCAUGGAUUGCUAAAUUUGACUGUUAAUCAUCAUCAACAUCGUCUUCACGGACAUUUCAACUCGAUACAGUGACUCUUAUUAUUCAUCGUGCUUCAACAUCGGUUUCAUCGUUCGCCAACCGACUGGGAGUUUAUUAGGAUUUACUAUUAUAACCCUGGAUUUUACAUCGGACACUUAAGAGAUUGAUGUCAAACCUUUACCAUCAAACAGGAAGUAGAUGAAGACAUGACCAACCCUGAUACAGCUCUAGAACAAUGGACUACACAAGGUCAAACCUUCAUGUUAAAAUGGGAAGUAGAUGAAAACAUGACCAACCCUGAAACAGCUCAAGAACAAUGGUCCACACAAGGUCAAACCUUCACCAUCAAACGUGAAGUAGAUGAAGACAUGACCAACCCUGAUACAGCUCAAGACCAAUGGAAUACACAAGGUAAGAUAAACUGGUACUGGUACACUGGUACUUUGGGAGAUCAUAUGGUCGGGAGGGGGGGGGGGGGCUCAGGCCCGCCUCGAGAUCUCAAUUCAAAAAUUGCAUGCAGGUUGUCUGGAACAUAUUAUACAAAAUUGUAUGUAAUUUGAUUCAUGCUAAUGCAUAAUUAGUAUGCAAAAUUAUACUUUUUCCUCGGACUCCCUAAAUAAAGCUACAAAUUGUCUGAUUUUUGGUAUACAUGUAGAAACUCUUGUCUUGUUCUUAGCAAAUGUACAGGUACAUGAAAAAUUGCGAUAUCAGAUCAAUAUCUUAUGUAUUUGUUUUGCAAUUUCUUUUGUAUUCCCUUGUUUUCUUAACCUUUUGUUAUUGUUUUUUUCAAUUAACUUUGUCAGGGACUUUUAAGAUCAUAAACAACAUAAAGUAAAUCCAUUUAAACCAGCAAAACUAAAAAUGAUCAUAUAUUUAUGAUUUUUUGUUGAAAUAACAAUUUCCAUUGACUUUGUACAUGAAAUCACUUUUUUGAGCAAUUUUUGAGCAAUUUUUGGUCUGACAUACAGUUCCAAUAUGUUGCGUAAUUUCAGAACCGCGUGUUUGGGUGUGGCAAAAGUGGUUUCAAAAGUUGCGCAAGAUUUGAAAGUUAAAAAAAAGGGACCGUCGUGGUAAAAAAAAAUUUGUAUGGCAAAAAUAUUGAAUCAGUCGUUUAGGCGCCUAGAUAGGGUUAAGAAUCAUGGGUACCUGUUUUUUAUUUCAUGUAUUUGAGAAUCUAGGUUAAUAUCCUUUUUUGGUGAAUACAUGGUCUCGCUGGGAGAGACACUGAGAGCAAGACCUCUGAAAGACUGCUGUGAGACCAUGAAAUUUGCUUGAUCUUUCAAGCGUCCUUCUUUCAAAGAUCUCUGAGGUCUUUCACGAUUCCUGAUGGCUCUUUCAGUGGUCUUCGUGGUCUCCAUGAUCUCCAAAACUUUUUGAAAUGGUUCAAAACAGUCUUUCAUCGGUCUUCAGGGGCGGAUCCAGCUUUCGCCAAUGGGGGGGGGGGG